GCGCUCUUAGUUCAGUUUGGUAGAACGUUGGCUUUCAGUAUGCCAUGGCGUAGGUUCAAAUCCUACAGAGCGUG
rnacentral:tRNA from 1 species